rnacentral:rRNA from 1 species
AGUGAACGCUGGCGGUAGGCCUAACACAUGCAAGUCGAACGGCAGCACAGUAAGAGCUUGCUCUUACGGGUGGCGAGUGGCGGACGGGUGAGGAACACAUCGGAAUCUACUUUUUCGUGGGGGAUAACGUAGGGAAACUUACGCUAAUACCGCAUACGACCUACGGGUGAAAGCAGGGGAUCUUCGGACCUUGCGCGAUUGAAUGAGCCGAUGUCGGAUUAGCUAGUUGGCGGGGUAAAGGCCCACCAAGGCGACGAUCCGUAGCUGGUCUGAGAGGAUGAUCAGCCACACUGGAACUGAGACACGGUCCAGACUCCUACGGGAGGCAGCAGUGGGGAAUAUUGGACAAUGGGCGCAAGCCUGAUCCAGCCAUACCGCGUGGGUGAAGGAGGCCUUCGGGUUGUAAAGCCCUUUUGUUGGGAAAGAAAAGCAGCAGGUUAAUACCCCGCUGUUCUGACGGUACCCAAAGAAUAAGCACCGGCUAACUUCGUG